rnacentral:sRNA from 1 species
GAAUGUGAGGGUGAUCUGGCUGCAAUGUCUGUCAACCCAUUGAUUACCGGGAUUGCUUCGGCUGAUCUGACUGGCCAGGCGUGUGUCCCUUUCCUCCCUCACCACUCCAUGUGUGUCCCUUCUGAAGCUGCAUGCUCGAUUGAAGAGGACGACUAUCCCCAGUAGAAAUGGUCUACAUGAAAUGAUCUAAUUCCUUAUUACUCAAAGUGCGGUCUGGGGACCCACCCCAUGGCCAUAAUGU